UUGUGGGCGAAAAGCGAAAAGGAGAGCGAGCGAGUCAGCUGAUCCGAACUACCGAUUUACCGACGCGACUUAUAAAUAAUUCCAUAAUUAAUUAGUGAUAUUGAGAAUUGCGACAAAUCUGUGCCAAUAUUGAAACACAAAGCGAAAGUGAGGUUAUGUGUGCCCCCUAGUGCCAAAUUAGAUUAAGCCAAAACCAAAACAAAGAAAAGCAGAUGGAAAGCAACGCAUUUGGCAGCAGCCAUUUGCCAUCUCAAGCGCUUGUUGUUCUCUCGGAAGCGGCUUCCGGUUUGCAUGAGGCUCUACGUGGACAACGACCGUUUCCAGCGAGAUUACCUGACGCCAAAGAUCUUCACAACAUGUCACUAGUCGGCAACUACUUCAACCAGCACCUGCUGAUCAACCACGGGAUGCUGGUGGCGAACGGAGCAGCAGCGGCGGCGGCAGCUGCGGGAGCGGGUCCGGCCAGCUACUUUGCCAGCGACCGGUCGCCGCUGGGGAAGCCGUCGGUCCUGUCGAACUUCUCGCUGCCGUCGGCCUUCUCGCCACCCAAAUACAUCGGCAUAUCCUUGGACCAGAAUCUGUUCAACGGCAGCGAAUCAUUUCGCACGGAUUCGGCCAGUCCCACAUGCACAUCCCAUGAAUCCAUGGAGGGAUCACAGGAUUACGAUGCCGUUGAAAAGGGUGAAAGUCCGCGCAGCAAUAAUUCUCAGGAUCCCAGGGAUUUGAGACAUCUGCACAGCGCGGGGAAGAGCCACCAGGCACUGGCCACCUCCUCGUCGGCAUCCAGCUCCUCGUCCUCCUCCUGCUCGACCAGCAAUCCGGCCAUCAGCACGGCGGCCAGUAGCGUGGCCGUUUCGAUGGCCAGCCACCUGGCCGCCGCCUCCCCGCACUCCCACGCUCACUCGCACCACCCUCACAAUCCCCACUCGCAUCCGCAUCCGCUGGCCCAUCCCCAUGCCCAUCCGCACCACGGCCACCAUGUGGGAGCACCGCCCCCCGUCUCCACGGCGGUGACGACCCACCAUCACAUGGCCCACCCGCAUCCGUUGUCGCACCACCAUGCCGCCCAUCACGCAGCCUUGGCCAGCCUGAGUAUGGCGGGUCUGAGGGCAGUGCCGGGAGGACUCAGCCUGGUAAGUGGACUGCAGGCCGCCGCCGCCGGAGGAGCCAUCCCGGAUCUGUGUCCGGUCUGCGGGCUGAAGCUGAGCGCCGAGGAGUGGCACACGCACUUCCUCACCGAGCUGGACAGGCUCUACAAGCUGAGUGCGGGCUUCGAGAGGGCCAAUCUGCAGGCCACCUACAUGUUCGCCCCACCGUGUCCGGCCCAGGAGAAUGCCAUCCGCACCAGCCACAAUCGCUGGGAGACCUUCCAGAGGAUACGAAAUAAUCGCCAGAACCGCCUGAGACUCAAAGUUCGGAAGCGCAAGUACGGAGAGAUGUACAUGAUGGAGAGUCUGUACUGCAGUAGUUGUCCCAUUUGUAAGAGGAAGUACGCUCUGGAAACGGGGAAGAUACCACCAGAGGACGAUGCCAAAUCCCAGGAGGAGAUCGAAACAGUUGAUGUGGAGAGCUGCAACGAUGAUGUGCCCGAUUCGGGUUCGGAGCUAACCGGAGCAGGGUCGGUGGGCUCUGGCUCGAUCCUUCCGCCCUCCAGCAUGCACAACAGCAACGCCCAGCCAGGAAAGCUGGACGGGAUUCUGUACCGAACGGCCUGUGUGAUGAACCAGAAGGAUGCCCACGCCGACGAGCAGGAUGUGAGCACCAACGUAACAACCGCCAGCAGUAGCAGUUGGCCGGGCGAGGCUAAUGCCCCACCUCAGGCACAUAUCAGUGUGAAAACCGUCAGCGAGCUGUCAUCUACCACACAUCACUAUUACAACGCCGAUUCCUGCGGCGUGGGCGUCAACGACAACAACAGUAGCAGUAGCACGAAUAACAGCAACAACAACACCGCGAGUGGUGGCGGUGGCAGCAACAACAAGGAGCUAAUGAUGGACACUGCCUCGUGCCAGAAUGACAGCGAUGAGGACGUGAUUGUGGACGACGACGACACCGUCAAGGUGUCGAGCAAAAUCAAUUACAGCAAGGUUCAGCGUCGGCAGGAGGAGCAGAAUGUGGGCAGUAGCAGGAAGGGCAAUGUGGCCCCCAGCGAUGGCUAUAUCUCAACCAAUUUCCUUGUGAUUCUUGAGCGGAAUGCCUUGAACGAUUUGUGGAUCGAUUCUCCAUAAUUCUGCAUCAAAAUUUCAGAACAAAAUAUUUUUUAGAUUUUUUCUCAAAUUUCCUAGUGGAUCCCCUUCAAAAGUUAAGAAAAACGCUAGGAAGGGCAAUAUGGCCCCCAGCGGUGGCUUGGAGCGGAAUACCUUGAACGAUUCGUGAAUCGAUUCUCCAUCAUUCUGCAUUAAAAUCUCAGAACAAAAUAUUUUUUAGAUUUUUCCUCAAAUUUCCUGGAGGAUCCCAAGAAAUUUUUUAAAUUUAAAAUAAAUUUUUGAACUAAAUUUCAGAUCUUUGGAAAACAUUUCGCCUGUGGAGGAGCGACCCAGAUCGGAGCCGCAGGUGAGCAGUACGGAACCUGGACCCAUGGAUAUAGCCCACAACAAUAAUAACAACAACAACAAUAGUAGCAAUAACAACAACAAUCCGUCAUCGAAAUAUGCCGAGAGCAUGGAGAACAACCUGUCGCAGUUGUCGUCAAUGGGCGUGCCAGGAUUAACGCAAUUGGACACAAAGGCAUAAAGGAUCUCAGUACGGAUGCCUUCCUGCGCGGUCGUAACUUUUACUUUCAUCAGAGCUGUGCCAACGUCAUGAGCAGCUAUCGGCUCAACAAGGAGCUACUGAGCCAGGCCCAGAGCCAGCAGAGGGCGGUGGCCGGGGGCGGGAGUGCCGAGGCGGUAACUGCCACGGCCACGCCCCGCAGCUUGUCGCCCGCCCAGUCGCCACAACAAAGUGUGCCCCAAGCCAUGGAGUGAACAUGAAUGAUUGCAAUCAAAGCGUGAAUUUAUUAAAAUUAAUUAAUAAAAUAUUGUAUUUGAGGUAGCUAAUGAAUCGCGAUGAUAAUGAUGAUGUUUAAUUGAGCGAAUCAGCCCCAAAGUAGGCAACACUCUUUCGGUUCAGCUCCCGCCCCACCAAAGUUCCCCUCCCCACUUUCCGACCCUGUAAAAAUCGGACAAACAACAAAAUAUGUAUUUUAUCUUUGUUCUCAUUUAAAAUGGAAUCGGUUUUAAUUAUACAAUAAUUUAGUGCAAUUUUUUGGUUGCCUUCUCCAAAAUGUCAUAUACAUUUGUGUGUACUUACUACUUAAUAAUAUCAGUAUGUUUGUAAUUGUAAUUUCCCCAGAACGUGCUAUAAUUGUUAAAUGUUUAAUUGAUCAUAAAACAAACAAUAUACGAUUAAUGACAAAGGAAUUAUCAAAUCUAAGCCAGAAAUUAGUUGUAAAUUUUUAAGCCCGUAAAUUAUUUAUGAAAAAUCCAAUAAAUAUAUGAAAAUAAC
rnacentral:misc_RNA from 1 species